rnacentral:rRNA from 1 species
AACGAACGCUGGCGGCAGGCUUAACACAUGCAAGUCGAACGCAUCGCAAGAUGAGUGGCAGACGGGUGAGUAACGCGUGGGAACAUACCCUUUUCUACGGAAUAGCUCUGGGAAACUGGAAUUAAUACCGUAUACGCCCUACGGGGGCAAGAUUUAUCGGGGAAGGAUUGGCCCGCGUUGGAUUAGCUAGUUGGUGGGGUAAAGGCCUACCAAGGCGACGAUCCAUAGCUGGUCUGAGAGGAUGAUCAGCCACAUUGGGACUGAGACACGGCCCAAACUCCUACGGGAGGCAGCAGUGGGGAAUAUUGGACAAUGGGCGCAAGCCUGAUCCGGCCAUGCCGCGUGAGUGAUGAAGGCCUUAGGGUUGUAAAGCUCUUUCACCGAUGAAGAUAAUGACGGUAGUCGGAGAAGAAGCCCCGGCUAACUUCGUGCCAGCCGCCGCAGUAAUAC